CGAAGUAUUGAGGGACCAUUAGAUUUUAGACAAUUCAGUCGUCCAUGUUGGAAUCAGGAUUCUUCAUAAAAAAAAUUUAACCACAGCCUCUAGUUGAUUUUCUUUAAUUAACACUUCAGUUACUAAAUGUGUUGUUCAUCUUCAACAGCUAAACCACAAAGGAGCUACCAAAUCACCAGAACAGAAAAGAAGAAAACACCAUCACCAGCAGUCACAUCAUCAAAACAACUGGUCCGGAAGCUCCAGGGACAGCAAAGUCAGUGAGAGGCCUGGACUGGGGGCUGAAUCUGUUAAAG